rnacentral:rRNA from 1 species
AUAUCAAUAAGCGGAGGAAAAGAAACCAACAGGGAUUGCCCUAGUAACGGCGAGUGAAGCGGCAACAGCUCAAAUUUGAAAUCUGGUCCCCUGGGCCCGAGUUGUAAUUUGCAGAGGAUGCUUUUGGCGCGGUGCCGUCUGAGUUCCCUGGAAUGGGACGCCAUAGAGGGUGAGAGCCCCGUACGGUCGGACACCUAGCCUCUGUAAAGCUCCUUCGACGAGUCGAGUAGUUUGGGAAUGCUGCUCUAAACGGGAGGUAAAUUUCUUCUAAAGCUAAAUACUGGCCAGAGACCGAUAGCGCACAAGUAGAGUGAUCGAAAGAUGAAAAGCACUUUGAAAAGAGGGUUAAACAGCACGUGAAAUUGUUGAAAGGGAAGCGCCCACGACCAGACGUGGGCCCGGCGAAUCAUCCGGCGGGUUUCCGCCGGUGCACUUCGCCGGCCCAGGCCAGCAUCGGCUCCCCGCGGGGGGAUAAAAGCGGCGGGAACGUAGCUCUUCGGAGUGUUAUAGCCCACCGCACAAUGCUCCCCGGGGGGCCGAGGUACGCGCUCUGCAAGGAUGCUGGCGUAAUGGUCGUCGGCGACCCGUCUUGAAACACGGACCAAGGAGUCAACCUUAUAUGCGAGUGUUUGGGCGUCAAACCCGGACGCGCAAUGAAAGUGAACGCAGGUGAGAGCUUCGGCGCAUCAUCGACCGAUCCUGAUGUUCUCGGAUGGAUUUGAGUACGAGCAUGUAGGGUUGGACCCGAAAGAAGGUGAACUAUGCGUGUAUAGGGUGAAGCCAGAGGAAACUCUGGUGGAGGCUCGCAGCGGUUCUGACGUGCAAAUCGAUCGUCAAAUAUGCGCAUGGGGGCGAAAGACUAAUCGAACCUUCUAGUAGCUGGUUUCCGCCGAAGUUUCCCUCAGGAUAGCAGUGUUGGGCUCAGUUUUAUGAGGUAAAGCGAAUGAUUAGGGACUCGGGGGCGCUAUUUAGCCUUCAUCCAUUCUCAAACUUUAAAUAUGUAAGAAGCUUUUGUUACUUAAUUGAACGGGGGCAUUCGAAUGUAUCAACACUAGUGGGCC